UCGCCUCGUGUCUCUCUCCUGGCGGCUGUGGCGUAGCGAGGCGCGAUGGCUGCUCUGGGGCGUGUGUGGCUCGGUGAGCUGAGGGUGCGCGGGGUCGGUGGCUGGAGUGUGUGCGGCGGUCGGAGGUCAAGGACGAGUGGGGGUGGCGGCCGGCUGCAGGGGUUCGCGUGUGGUAGGCAUGAGCUGUCGGCUGGCAGAGUGCGCAGAGGCGGAGGCGCUCGCGCUACAAGAUCUAGGCGUGACCGGGCCCGUCGCCAUCGCAAAGAGGCGCUCCCGCUGGCUCGCUAUCGCCGGCGACGAACGCCGACUGCCGAUCUCCGACUCCUCCGUCGAAGUCGUCUUCACCGGCCGUCAUCGACUUGGUCUUCGUCGGCCUCUCCCUCGAUUCGUUAAAGCGCUUGUCCGACCUCGUCGGUGAGGCCGCGCGGAUCUUGAAGCCGGAGGGCCAUCUCGUCGUGCUCACCUCCAGCACCGUUGAUGCCUACAACCUCCGCUCGCCAACCCUUGCGCCCCCGGCCGGUGAUGGACGAGAUGGCCUACAGCAUCAACGGCGAGAACGCGCACUACGGAACCCCCGACAACCCCUGCGCCCCCGGCCACGUCCCCGGCGGCUCCGCCCCUCCCACAGUGUGGUCUCCACCGAGAACGUCGUCCCCAUGGCGCAGAUGUUCGACACUGUCGGCUGGUUUCCAGUGAUGUAGCUACAUUGUACCGUGUGAGCGACGUGUUGCUGCCGCCGGUCUCAACCAACACCGCCGAUGCCGAGCUGCGACAACCGAGUCGUGUCAUGAUUCAACGCACUACGACCUGUUGCCUAGCUACCGGUAACUGAGUAAGAUGGAAGGCCUUUUCUUUCUCUGUCCAUUCUUUUGUUUGUUCUUCUCAUGGUGCUGGGUCGUGUAAUGUCCAAAGAAAAGGAAGUCCCUCUUUGGGGUACAUUGUGGCGGUAAAGAAUUGGGACAAGUUAGUUAGGUAAUAAAGAGUUUUUGAGUCCCAACAGUCUUUGCAAAUGUACAGUUCAUCCUCGGUGUUAGAUAAGCGGACUUGUCUGUUCUCAAGUAUAAUCUUACACAUACAUCAAUGUGGAUAUCCUGAAAGUUGCUUCAACUGUUCGAAUACAAUGGCAUGUGCUGUUUGAAAUGAGGAUGGUUAUGAACUCACUCCUGACUCUUUUGCCGCACCUGUUAGCACUAUUUUGGUUGUAUAUAUGGAAUGAAGGUUACUGAUCUUGCCCAACUUAGGUUGUGUUUGGUUGAGCUGCAGAUUAUGUUGUUGCUGGGCUGCAGAUUCAUUUGUACACCACAAUUAAUAAUGUCGACAUACAGCUCAUUCAUCUAGCUAUGUAUCUACUUAUAAUAAUGUAGAUUUUUCCUGAUGACUUGAGAUGAACCAACUUUGGUAGAUUCUACUGCAGUAUAUAUCUUAUAUUUGGGUUAUGUAUUUAUCAAGUUCCAGUAAGUAAUCCAUGCUUGCACUAAACAAUACAUGUGUAUUGUAUCAUUUAUUUGUUUUCCCUCUCAAACAAAAAUGUGUAUUGUAUGAUUGGUGUUGUUUCCUGUACAGUAUAAUAUCCAGAUAUUCCCUUGAUAAAUAUGGUUGUGCAAGUUAUCACCAUUACUUUAUAGGGGACUGGUUAUUCAGGCCUUCUUUUUUCUUAUUUUCUCGUACAGUAGUGACGUUACAGUAGAAAAAUUAAUUAUCUAUGAUGAACCUUUGAUUGCACUGAAUUUUUUAUAUAUCUUUGUGAAAUCCCCCUCCUGAAUUUUAUAUAUCUUUGUGGGGCGAAAUCCCCUGAUUGGUAACAUCAGAGAUUUUUACAGAUGUAGCCGAGCGGCUAAACACAUGAAGGGAUUUGCGCAGAGUUGGGAGAGGGAACGGGGCUAGCAAGGAGUUUCUUCUCAUUCAGUGAAAGUUAUCUCUUUUCUUUCCGUUUUUCUAACUUUGAUGCUUUCUACUCCCUCCGAUCCAUAAUAACUGUCGCAAUCUCGAACUAAGGUCUUGCCAACAUAGAAGAAAAGGGGUACUUGACGCGAAGGCGAGCAUAGUCAUAUGGAUGGAUGAUGAUGCAAGGUGGAGCCAACCCUUUGCUCCCUGACAAAUCUCACUGAAAUAUUGAUCAUUUCACACUAAGUCGAUGGACGUAGACUGAAAGGCUACGAAUAAUGCAUCUGAAGCCUGAAGCUCGUUCAUCAUCAGCAUGAGCAAUCCAAGAGGCUGUUGUGAUACCAUCUGUGCCUCCGCAGAUUCUCUUGUCAUAUCCUCCGUGGACCAGACACCGGAUCAUCAAAGCCUGGAGGGCAUCUUCAUUGUUGAGAUGGAAAGGGCUCAGGUUCAUCAACUGCCAAGUUAUUUGAGACUUGUUAGCUAAUUAAAACGCACGAAGAUGUAUCAGACAGUGGAAUCUCCAAGGACCGGGACAAAACAGAAAGAAUGCGAAGGAGCUAUUGGUCGUCGAGGACAUCGGUCCAGUGUCCGGGACCGGGAGCUCUAGCCAGGGACAGCAUGAUUCAAUUGCCACUGGGGAGAGGGCGAGUGAGGCUGCCAUGGCGUGGUGGCCUACCGGUUCUGGCAACCCGCGGAGACAUGUUCCAAGUACCAAAAUGGUCGCCCGUGGAGGAAUAUUGAGCACGGAGCACCCAGCGGUGUGCGUGUCAGAACUCGGAAGGAGGAAAUGUGGCAGCCUGCCGACCUGCCAUCAUGAACCUCCAGGACUUGGGCGGACGGAGCUCGGAGCCUCGAGCGAGCAGUUCAGAUUUCAGGCAGAUAGAUAGAUAGAUUCUGCGUCUGGAGAUCUGAAAUCUCUCUUGGCGCAUUCGGGUAUAAAGGAGAAGCUCGGAUCAAUCAGGCUCAGGUUCCUCGUUGGCUUGCAGGCUUGGCUUCUUUCCCAUCAGUUCAAUACUUCCAAUUGUUCCAGGGUAACUAUAUUGGAGACAAACAUAAUCCAGUGAGGUAUGUACUUUGUUUAAAUAAUAUAUCUCAGAUGUUGAAAGAAGAUUAAAUAAAAGAGGUAAGAUGAAUUGAAGAAAAUAGGAGAGGCCUCCACCUGUACUAAUCAGUUUGAAUUGGCUUUUGAGAAUCUCUAAAAGUGGAAACCAUGUUGUUGAUAUAUCUGUGAUUGAUAGUUUAUGCGGUGCUGCACAAUGGUAAAUAUAUAUGUUCUUGCCAAGAACAGAAUCUUCAGUAGUCUGACUUCAAUAAAACAGUAUGGCAAUAAUUUAGCAUCUUUUCACUGAUUUCAAUAUAUGCCAAUAUAAGAGCAUCUUUUUUUCACAAGUUUGAAAAGGAAUAAUUCAAAAUCUGCAGAUGAUCACUAUAGUGUCAAAUCCAAUUUCUUUUGCCAUCUUAUGGGCGAAAAUGCAUUGUAAAAAGUGAAUCAUAUUAGCGUUUCUCUAACCUUGAAAUUGAUGCUUGUUAUAAUGUGCAGACUUCCAAAUUGGGACAAUUUAGAUCAUGAUAUGAUUUGGAGAGUUGAUGCAUGAUUGCAGAUGGCUACCAAAAUGGAAAAAAAAUCAAUCGUCACCAAUAUAGAGGUAUUUCACAUGUGCAGUGAGUGAGCUAGACUGCAUCAAGUCUUCUCAUAGCCUACCACCGCCAGUCAAGUAUCAAGCUGGUUCUCGAUCGUUAUCGAGCUUGACGAGUACUUCCUCUCUCGCUGCUUCGCCGAUCCAGACCCCAUUUACGUGGGAGCUACUUUUUUUUUGAUAGAUUGAAAAAGGAGAUGCUUUGAUAGGAGAAAAGGAACCCGAAGAUCGAACGUGCAUAUCACAAGAAACUUUCAGUGAAAUGUUAUUAUGUACAUUUCCGAUGUUAGAUAUUGAGAACCUGAAGAAUAUAC